UUCCGUAGGUGAACUUGCGGGGGGAUCAUUACCGAGUUUACAACUCCCAAACCCCUGUGAACAUAUCACUUGUUGCCUCGGCGGAUCAGCCCGCUCCCGGUAAAACGGGACGGCCCGCCAGAGGACCCCUAAACUCUGUUUUUAUAUGUAACUUCUGAGUAAAACCAUAAAUAAAUCAAAACUUUCAACAAGGGAUCUCUUGGUUCUGGCAUCGAUGAAGAACGCAGCAAAAUGCGAUAAGUAAUGUGAAUUGCAGAAUUCAGUGAAUCAUCGAAUCUUUGAACGCACAUUGCGCCCGCCAGUAUUCUGGCGGGCAUGCCUGUUCGAGCGUCAUUUCAACCCUCAAGCACAGCUUGGUGUUGGGACUCGCGUUAAUUCGCGUUCCCCAAAUUGAUUGGCGGUCACGUCGAGCUUCCAUAGCGUAGUAGUAAAACCCUCGUUACUGGUAAUCGUCGCGGCCACGCCGUUAAACCCCAACUUCUGAAUGUGACCUCGGAUCAUGUAGGAAAGCCAAAUUCCA
rnacentral:rRNA from 1 species